UUUUCCCCAUACACUUCAGGCAGAUUGGGUGCUGGAGACCGCCCCCACCCCCCAAAACUGGCACUGGAGUACAGUUACUGCCGAGUUACACUUUAACUUCUCUGCAGCUGAAAGGUUUCCUCAGGGAUGCAUUUCUAUGAACAAUUCCAAAUCCCCCUGAGAGGAAGCUCCAUGUGCAAAAGCCAGUCAUCCACAUGCACACCUGCAGGCUUUGGCCAACACAGAAGAGCUCCAGAAUCUGUUCUUUCAGUCAGAGAUGGAAGUGCCCUCACCAGGCGCAUGGUUCUGACCUCAGCUGGAGGAGCCUUGGCCUGGAGUCAAGCAGUUGCUGCACUUAGUGAAACAGCCAAAUGAACUGUCUGCUUUGCCUUAGAUUAAACUUCAUUCACUGAUCCAAGACAACUCGCUUUUCCUUAAUACUGAGGAUCGAACAGUUAAUGCUGGAGUAUUCAUUUGAAAAGCUGAGGAAGAGCAUUACAAAUAAACAAAAUCUAGAAUGGAUUAAACUCCUGUUUUAUUCCAUGGAAGAAUAAAGAACAGCAGUACACAUAUUUAGAGUCAUAAAUGUACCAACAAUCUUAAUUGAACUAGUAUUUUUAAGCAUGUGACUGAAUCAAGUAAUGGACUGGAACAGAGCCUAUAAUCAGCAAUGAUGUAUUCAGACUCUGUUUGAAGAUAAGCAGAUGGGUAAAUUUAAACUCAGAAAAAUAGAUUUUUAGCCCAAUAAAUUUGCCUCCUGGAGUACUUUU